rnacentral:rRNA from 1 species
UACGGGGGGGGCAAGCGUUGUUCGGAAUUACUGGGCGUAAAGGGCGCGUAGGCGGCCUGCUAAGUCGGACGUGAAAUCCCUCGGCUUAACCGGGGAACUGCGUCCGAUACUGGAUGGCUUGAGUUCGGGAGAGGGAUGCGGAAUUCCAGGUGUAGCGGUGAAAUGCGCAGAGUAUCAGGAGGAACACCGAUGGCGAAGGCAGGUCUCUGGGCAUUAACUGACGCUGAGGAGCGAAAGCAUGGGGGAGCGAACAGG